CAUUCACCUAGAGGAGUUGCAGCCACCUACAGCACAUCAGCCAGAUGUGAGCCCACAAGGAACAGAGGUGUUUUUGUCACAGCUCUUCAACUGACUGCACAAUGCUGAUGGCAGAGCCAGGGUGAAGAUAGACCAUGCUGGUACGAAGGUGAAGAUACACCUUCCAUUUUGAAAUGUCUCGUGGAUAAGCUGUUAACAUCUGCUGCAAGUCAGGCAGUGAGCUUUUCAGUGAUGACAGCAGGCAACAGUAUUUACUGAAGAGACUAGAACUGUCAGCUUGGGAAAACAUGGGAAGACUGAAGGAAAAAGGAGGCCAGUCCCACUACCUGCCUCAGCUUCACUCAGGCUGAGCUGAGCCUACCAAAAUCUUGGAGGUACGAGUGGAUCACAGGGACACUGAAGAAAGCAGGCCUGAAGAAAUCUGGGAGGGAUUAAGAGAGUAAGUCUGUGUAUGGUCACCUAUCAGUAUUAGCGCCUAACUCUAGAAACUGAGGCCAAAUGCAUGGGAAUUAAG